rnacentral:rRNA from 1 species
CCUACGGGAGGCAGCAGUAGGGAAUCUUCCGCAAUGGACGAAAGUCUGACGGAGCAACGCCGCGUGAGCGAAGAAGGCCUUCGGGUCGUAAAGCUCUGUUGUUAGGGAAGAACAAGUACGAGAGUAACUGCUCGUACCUUGACGGUACCUAACCAGAAAGCCACGGCUAACUACGUGCCAGCAGCCGCGGUAAUACGUAGGUGGCAAGCGUUGUCCGGAAUUAUUGGGCGUAAAGCGCGCGCAGGCGGUCCUUUAAGUCUGAUGUGAAAGCCCACGGCUCAACCGUGGAGGGUCAUUGGAAACUGGGGGACUUGAGUGCAGAAGAGGAGAGUGGAAUUCCACGUGUAGCGGUGAAAUGCGUAGAGAUGUGGAGGAACACCUAUGGCGAAGGCGGCCAUCUGGGCCGGAACUGACGCUGAGGCGCGAGAGCUAGGGGAGCAAACAGGAUUAGAUACCCUGGUGGUCCUAGCUGUAAACGAUGGGCACUUGAUGUCGCGGGUUUCUACCCCUGCGGCGUCGGAGCUAACGCGUUAAGUGCCCCGCCUGGGGAGUACGGUCGCAAGGCUGAAACUUAAAGGAAUUGACGG